rnacentral:rRNA from 1 species
AUACGUAGGGGGCAAGCGUUAUCCGGAUUUACUGGGUGUAAAGGGAGCGUAGACGGAAGGCCAAGUCUGAUGUGAAAGCCCGCGGCUCAACUGCGGGACUGCAUUGGAAACUGGUCAUCUGGAGUGCAGGAGAGGUUAUCGGAAUUCCCGGUGUAGUGGUGAAAUGCGUAGAGAUCGGGAGGAACACCAGUGGCGAAGGCGGGUAACUGGACUGCAACUGACGCUGAGGCGCGAAAGUGUGGGGAGCAAACAGGAUUAGAUACCCUGGUAGUCCACACUGUAAACGAUGAAUGCUAGGUGUAGGAGGUAUCGACCCCUUCUGUGCCGCAGUAAACACAGUAAGCAUUCCGCCUGGGGAGUACGGUCGCAAGAUUAAAACUCAAAUGAAUUGACGGGG